CAUAGGUUAAUGAGGCGAACCGGGGGAACUGAAACAUCUAAGUACCCCGAGGAAAAGAAAUCAACCGAGAUUCCCCCAGUAGCGGCGAGCGAACGGGGAGCAGCCCAGAGCCUGAAUCAGUGUGUGUGUUAGUGGAAGCGUCUGGAAAGGCGCGCGAUACAGGGUGACAGCCCCGUACACAAAAAUGCACAUACUGUGAGCUCGAUGAGUAGGGCGGGACACGUGGUAUCCUGUCUGAAUAUGGGGGGACCAUCCUCCAAGGCUAAAUACUCCUGACUGACCGAUAGUGAACCAGUACCGUGAGGGAAAGGCGAAAAGAACCCCGGCGAGGGGAGUGAAAAAGAACCUGAAACCGUGUACGUACAAGCAGUGGGAGCACGCUUAGGCGUGUGACUGCGUACCUUUUGUAUAAUGGGUCAGCGACUUAUAUUCUGUAGCAAGGUUAACCGAAUAGGGGAGCCGAAGGGAAACCGAGUCUUAACUGGGCGUUAAGUUGCAGGGUAUAGACCCGAAACCCGGUGAUCUAGCCAUGGGCAGGUUGAAGGUUGGGUAACACUAACUGGAGGACCGAACCGACUAAUGUUGAAAAAUUAGCGGAUGACUUGUGGCUGGGGGUGAAAGGCCAAUCAAACCGGGAGAUAGCUGGUUCUCCCCGAAAGCUAUUUAGGUAGCGCCUCGUGAAUUCAUCUCCGGGGGUAGAGCACUGUUUCGGCAAGGGGGUCAUCCCGACUUACCAACCCGAUGCAAACUGCGAAUACCGGAGAAUGUUAUCACGGGAGACACACGGCGGGUGCUAACGUCCGUCGUGAAGAGGGAAACAACCCAGACCGCCAGCUAAGGUCCCAAAGUCAUGGUUAAGUGGGAAACGAUGUGGGAAGGCCCAGACAGCCAGGAUGUUGGCUUAGAAGCAGCCAUCAUUUAAAGAAAGCGUAAUAGCUCACUGGUCGAGUCGGCCUGCGCGGAAGAUGUAACGGGGCUAAACCAUGCACCGAAGCUGCGGCAGCGACGCUGAUGCGUUGUUGGGUAGGGGAGCGUUCUGUAAGCCUGUGAAGGUGUGCUGUGAGGCAUGCUGGAGGUAUCAGAAGUGCGAAUGCUGACAUAAGUAACGAUAAAGCGGGUGAAAAGCCCGCUCGCCGGAAGACCAAGGGUUCCUGUCCAACGUUAAUCGGGGCAGGGUGAGUCGAC
rnacentral:rRNA from 1 species